CCAAUGAGAGCUGUGGAGCUGGCCCUUGGGGCAGGGGCAGCGCGGGUAGCCUCCCUGGACACCCAUGCAUCUAGAGGCUGCAGGGAGCUGGCGGCCACUUCUGGGAGCUGUAUGGAGGUAGGGCAGGCAGGGAGCCUGCCUUAGCCCCGGGCCCCUGCUGCACUGCUGACCAGACUUUUAAUGGCCCGGUCGGCGGUGCUGACCAGAGCUGCCAGGGUCCCUUUUCGACUGGGUGUUUUCUGGUUGAAAACUGGAUGCCUGGCAACCCUUGGGUGGAGAAGUGACCCUGUGGGAUGCAGAGUAGGAAGCAGCAAGGCUGGGGACUGAACAGACCUUGGCUGUGUGUUGUAGGAUCCCCAGGCUGGAACCCAGAGUAGAGGACAGGCUUGGGUUCCCCUAUCAGCCACCGAGGAAGGGGCACCAGGGGGCAGUGAAAGGGAAGACUGCCUGAGGCUGCUGCUGAGAAGGGACUUUGUGUAAGGGGACUGUUGAGCCCUUACUGAAACUUAGUGUGGUUUUUUUGGUUGGCCCUCUCCCAGUACCAAAAGAAAGGGAAAAGAUGAGAAAUCAAGACACUGAGACUGACAGUCUCCGAGGCCAGUGCUCCAGGUCAGCAUGGCUGACAGGGCAGGCUGGCCAAUGUGGGAGUCAGGAGCCUGGGGUCCCAUCCUCCAUGUCAGCUGGAGCUGCCUGGGCCACAGCAAGAUCAAGAUAAGGAGAGACCAGGAGCCAGAGAGAACCAGAAUAGCAGUCUGGGGAGCUGAGCUGGAGGCAGAGCGAAGCUGCGGCUGAAGUAGUCUGGUGUCGGGUGUGGUGAGUAGCUGGGGAAAGUGAGGGGGACCCGGGGCAGUGGGCCCAGCGCAGAGAGAUGCCCCCCAGCCAAGAUGCCUUGCAGGCCAGACUUGGAGGGGGGAUCAUAACCCUGAUGGGACGUGGGCGAUGCUGGGAAGAGGGGUCCUGCCACCUAGAGCCUGAGGACAUGUGGCCACCGCAAGAGCAAAUGUCCAACCCGCAGCAUCCCUGCAGCACAGCCAGGCCCUGGGCAGGAGGCCGGGAACGUGAGGUACAGACUGAACUUCCCUUACAUUCCAGAGACAGCUGUUUGUUGUUCUGCCGUGGCCACAGAACGGGGUUACAUGUUUUCCUUUAAUCUUCCCCAUUUUUUAAAUUGGUUGCUGUUUAAUAAAUUGUAUUUGCUUUGAACUGUAUGUAAUGAUCAGUGGGUCAGGGAAGUGUCCAGUGUGAAGAGUACCCUGGAGUGGGGACACCCUAGCCCCCAUCCUAAGUGACCAUGACUAGACUGGGGGGGGUGGUGUUGAGCCCCCAGGAAUCCUGGGCCCAACCUUGUUGGGGUUACAAGGACUGCAACACAGAAUGGGAGGGCAGCCCUUGAGGUCAGGCAGGCCUCUGGGUAAAAGGGAGGAGGAGCGAGGACUCUGAUCCUUCUGCUAGCCAAUUCCACCGGGGUAGUAUAUAAGCCAGGAAUGUUCCUCACAAUGGUGGAGCCAUUCCCCCGCUUACAUCGUAUACCCCUAGAAGGGGAAACUAUGUAGUGACCUGGCCAGGGGGAUGAGUCACAAAGAGAAGUAAUACUGUAGCUCACAAAAGCUUAUGCUCAAAUAAAUUUAUUAGUCUAAGGUGCCUCAAGUAUUCCUUUUCUUAAAGAGAAGGCUGCAGUUCCUGGAACAAGAGAAGCUGCAGAGAGGGGAAGAGAGAGAGUGUGACUACCAGAAGGGGCGUCAGCCUGGCAGAGCUAAUCCCCUGAACUGUCGGGAGGCAGUACUGUCCUGCAAGCUCCAGUUGUCUAACAAUCAGAAGGAGACCUGUCUAAUCAUCUGGGGGCUUUGAAUUUCUCUGGGGGAGGAAAUGGAUAAGCACAAUUUAGAGUAUGGUGUUUUAGAAAAUAGUAAACUCUUUCUUUUCUGGGCCAGGCAGGCUUUUCCCCAGGCAUAAUUCACAGCAAAAUAAGAUCUCAGUAAUAUGUAUUAGCUGGAUACAGAUUACGUUGCAUUCACAUAAUGUAAUUAUAUGUAUGGUCAUAGCUGUGAAAAUCAUAGCCGUAUCCUUGUCUGGCUAACAAUCUCUGGGUGCCAUGGUAUUGGCAAGGGCUUUUGAGAAUUCUGUCCCCAUGCUGCAUUAAGCAGUGUCUUAGUUGGAGAGUGAGAUUUUCAGAAGUGCCUAAGUCACUUAGGAAUACAUGUUCUAUUGAAUGUCAAUGAAACAUGUACUCAGUUUUGACCAGCCCAUCCAGUCCCUAUGUCAGAGCCUACUAUCUAUGAGAACAAAAACAUACAUGUCUAAAGAUUCUUAUAUGACCCCUAUUACUACAGUAUCUGAGCACCUCAGUUUUUAGUGUAUUUAGCCUCACAACAUCCCUGUGAAGAAGGAAACUAUUGUCCACAUUUUGCACCUGGAGAACUGCGACACAGAGACUAAGUGACUUGCCUGAAGUUUGUGGCUGAACAGGUAGUUGAACCCAGGUCUCUCAAGUCAGCACCCUCACCACUGGCCCAACCUUCCUCUUUACAUGUGAGGGAGAAGGAUGAUUUAUAUAAAACAUAUACUUGUAAACAUCUAUCUAUGCAUUUUGUUUUCUACUCUCUCUACUUUGGGCUGCCAUGCUUGAAAUGGGAACUACACAAAAAGAUACCAACUACAGGAAAGCUGAGCACUCUGACUUCAUGCUUCCAUGUGAAAGCUGCAGAGCUGAGCCUUGAGCUCAGUUCCUCAUACUUCAGGAGCAACACUGUGGUGUAUGUCAUGCUGCUGGAAAACCGAGAGAGUGAUUUUUUUUCUGCAGUAAUGAACCCUGCUGACUCUCCCCAGGAGGGGAAUUAGAUUCCAGAGGAAGACCUGGGCUGUAGAUGUGCUGCUGAGCAUUUGCUAAAAUUUCCCAUGUUUGCUACCCUCAGUCUAGCAUCGUUGGGAGUGCUAGUGCAGAUAGGUCUGCAAGAGGCUCCCAACAGUGCUUAAAAUAUUGUUGGUCCCUUUCUACACUAGUGCUCUCACUGUUGUAUUUUUGCUAAAAAAGUAGACAAGGCCUUAUUUCCAUUCUUAUUCGUGAGGGAGGGUGCCCUAUAUGAUGAUGCAGAACCUAUUUUAAAUAAGGAACCAAGGCACGCCUACUAGAUGUCUUAUGCUGUUCCACCUCAGGCUGCAGGAAUAAGUGGGAAAAGGGCUGUACUAUUACUUUGUACUGCAACAUAUAUAUAUAUAUAUAUUGUAUUAAAUCAUUUCCAAACACAGGAAAA